GACGAACGCUGGCGGCGUGCUUAACACAUGCAAGUCGAACGGAAAGGCCCUGCUUGCAGGGUACUCGAGUGGCGAACGGGUGAGUAACACGUGGGUGAUCUGCCCUGCACUUCGGGAUAAGCCUGGGAAACUGGGUCUAAUACCGGAUAGGAGCCAUUUUUAGUGUGAUGGUUGGAAAGUUUUUUCGGUGUAGGAUGAGCUCGCGGCCUAUCAGCUUGUUGGUGGGGUAAUGGCCUACCAAGGCGGCGACGGGUAGCCGGCCUGAGAGGGUGGACGGCCACAUUGGGACUGAGAUACGGCCCAGGCUCCUACGGGUGGGAGAAGUGGGAAAUGUUGCCCAAUGGGCGCCAGCCUGAUGCAGAGGCGCCGCGUGGGGGAUAACGGCCUUCGGGUUGUAAACUCCUUUCGCUAGGGACGGAGCUUUUUGUGACGGUACCUAGAUAAGAAGCACCGGCUAACUACGUG
rnacentral:rRNA from 1 species